ACCUUGGGCCUGGCUGGCCGGUCCGCCUCACCGCGUGUACUCGUCCGGCCGGGCCUUUCCCUCUGUGGAACCCCAUGCCCUUCACUGGGUGUGGCGGGGAAACAGGACUUUUACUGUGAAAAAAUUAGAGUGCUCCAGGCAGGCCUAUGCUCGAAUACAUUAGCAUGGAAUAAUAGAAUAGGACGUGUGGUUCUAUUUUGUUGGUUUCUAGGACCGCCGUAAUGAUUAAUAGGGACAGUCGGGGGCAUCCGUAUUCAAUUGUCAGACGUGAAAUUCUUCGAUUUAUUGAAGACUAACUACUGCGAAAGCAUUUGCCAAGGAUGUUUUCAUUAAUCAGGAACGAAAGUUAGGGGAUCGAAGACGAUCAGAUACCGUCGUAGUCUUAACCAUAAACUAUGCCGACUAGGGAUCGGACGGUGUUAUUUUUUGACCCGUUCGGCACCUUACGAGAAAUCAAAGUGCUUGGGCUCCAGGGGGAGUAUGGUCGCAAGGCUGAAACUUAAAGAAAUUGACGGAAGGGCACCACCAGGGG
rnacentral:rRNA from 1 species